rnacentral:rRNA from 1 species
GCCGCGGUAACACCAGCAGCCCAAGUGGUGACCACGAUUAUUGGGCCUAAAGCGCUCGUAGCCGGAUCAGCAAGUCCCUUGUGAAAUCGGGCCGCCUAACGGUUCGGCGUGCAAGGGAUACUGUUGGUCUUGAGGCCGGGAGAGGUCGGAGGUACUCCUGGGGUAGCGGUGAAAUGCUCUAAUCCUAGGGGGACCACCAGUGGCGAAGGCGUCCGACCAGAACGGACCUGACGGUGAGGGGCGAAGGCUAGGGGAGCGAACGGGAUUAGAUACCCCGGUAGUCCUAGCUGUAAAGCAUGCGGGCCAGGUGUCUAGCGCUCCUCGAGGGCGCUAGGUGCCGGAGGGAAGCCGUUAAGCCCGCCGCCUGGGAAGUAGGCCGCAAGG